rnacentral:rRNA from 1 species
UACGUAGGGGGCAAGCGUUGUCCGGAUUUAUUGGGCGUAAAGAGCGUGUAGGCGCCAGGGAGGUCCGUUGUGAAAACUCGAGGCUCAACCUCGAGACGCCGAUGGAAACCCCCUGGCUAGAGUCCGGAAGAGGAGAGUGGAAUUCCUGGUGUAGCGGUGAAAUGCGCAGAUAUCAGGAAGAACACCCGUGGCUAAGGCGGCUCUCUAGUACGGUACUGACGCUGAGACGCGAAAGCGUGGGGAGCGAACAGG